rnacentral:rRNA from 1 species
AUGCCAGCCGAUGUGCUGCCGGGAGCACGCAACCUGUUUGACGGAAUGCCGGCCUCCGACGACGACGACUACAUGCAAAACAUCAUCUUCGAGGGUGGUGUGGCGGCCGCUGGCGGUGCCGCCGGGGCCGGCUACAAUCCCGAAGAGACACAAAACCAGGACGGCCGAGGGGCGUUCACGCCGUCCACCAUUGAUCAAGAUCAGGUGGCCUUCAUGCAUGAUCAGGUCGGCCUGGACCUGGAUGGCUUCCCACUCGACCACGAGUUUUCGGAGGACUACGGGCAAGAGGAAGAGGAUGAGUGCCACAUCGAAGGGGGGCCUUUGUUCGAGGACGAGCUCGCCAACUAA